rnacentral:rRNA from 1 species
GGUUAAGAUACUAAGGGCAAUUGGCGGAUGCCUUGGUGCCAGGAGGCGAUGAAGGACGUGGAAGGCUGCGAUAAGCCUCGGUGAGCCG